GAUGAAGAACGUAGCGAAAUGCGAUACGUAAUGUGAAUUGCAGAAUUCAGUGAAUCAUCGAAUCUUUGAACGCACCUUGCGCCUCUUGGUAUUCCGAGAGGCAUGCCUGUUUGAGUGUCAUUUCAACCCUCAUGCCCCUAGGGCGUGGUGUUGGGGAUCGGCCAAAGCCCGCGAGGGACGGCCGGCCCCUAAAUCUAGUGGCGGACCCGUCGUGGCCUCCUCUGCGAAGUAGUGAUAUUCCGCAUCGGAGAGCGAUGAGCCCCUGCCGUUAAACCCCCAACUUUCCAAGGUUGACCUCAGAUCAGGUAGGAAUACCCGCUGAACUUAAGCAUAUCAAUAAGCGGAGGA
rnacentral:misc_RNA from 1 species